rnacentral:rRNA from 1 species
AUUGAACGCUGGCGGCAUGCCUUACACAUGCAAGUCGAACGCGAAAGAGGGGCAACCCUUGAGUAGAGUGGCGAACGGGUGAGUAACGCAUCGGAACGUAUCCAGUAGUGGGGGAUAACCCAUCGAAAGAUAGGCUAAUACCGCAUACGCCCCGAGGGGGAAAGUGGGGGAUCCGCAAGGACCUCACGUUAUUGGAGCGGCCGAUGUCCGAUUAGCUAGUUGGCGGGGUAAGGGCCCACCAAGGCGACGAUCGGUAGCUGGUCUGAGAGGAUGAUCAGCCACACUGGGACUGAGACACGGCCCAGACUCCUACGGGAGGCAGCAGUGGGGAAUUUUGGACAAUGGGGGCAACCCUGAUCCAGCCAUGCCGCGUGCGGGAAGAAGGCCUUCGGGUUGUAAACCGCUUUUGUCAGGGAAGAAAUCUUCUGGGCUAAUACCUCGGGAGGAUGACGGUACCUGAAGAAUAAGCACCGGCUAACUACGUGCCAGCCGCCGCGGUAAUAC